rnacentral:rRNA from 1 species
GACGAACGCUGGCGGCGUGCUUAACACAUGCAAGUCGAACGGUAAGGCCCUUCGGGGUACACGAGUGGCGAACGGGCGAGUAACACGUGGGUGAUCUGCCCUGCACUUCGGGAUAAGCCUGGGAAACUGGGUCUAAUACCGGAUAGGACUCCGGACUGCAUGGUCUGGGGUGGAAAGCUUUUGCGGAGUGGGAUGGGCCCGCGGCCUAUCAGCUUGUUGGUGGGGUGAUGGCCUACCAAGGCGACGCCAGGUAGCCGGCCUGAGAGGAUAACCGGCCACACUGGGACUGAGAUGCGGCUCAGAAUCGUACGGGUGGCAGCAGUAGGGAAUAUUGCACAAUGGGCGCGAGCCUGAUGCAGCGACGCCGCGUGCGGGAUGCCGGCCUUCGGGUUGUAAACCUCUUUCAGCACCGACGAAGCGCAAGUGACGGUAGGUGCAGAAGAAGGACCGACCAACUACGUGCCAGCAGCCGCAGUAA